CAAUGCCAGGUUAUAAUGCUUAUUAUCCUGUUAUGAUAUUCUUCAUUUAAAAUAAAAUGACCUCAUAGUGUUUAUGAUCUGCUAUACUUCUCUGACGCCAAUUUUCUGCCUUAGCACCAAAAAGACAUAUAUCAGGCCGAUCAAUAAUGCUCAACUUAACUAACCUGCUUACUAUAUUCUUCUUGCCAUAGGUUUAAAGCUUAAUUCUACUUUUUUCUUGAUGAAAGCUUAGUCUCCUAACAAUAAAUAGUAUUCAGCCUUCUUACAUGUGCUGCUUCAUUUCAAUCUUACCAGAACGAAACUAAAUUCAGGGUCACCCCCUGCUAUCCAAUACCGCGGAGAGCUUGAAAGGUACUGUCACUAGGGCAACCAAGUGAAGCUCUAUCAGCACCAUGUGAAGAAGUUGUUUUCCAUGUUCCGCCGCAAAAAACCAAAUACCAAAUACUAUGUCUGCACCAUCAACAAAACAUUCGUAAAGCCAUGCCAAGGGAUGGUAAACUCCUUCCUUCCACUUCAUUGAAAAAAUAUUUUCAGGUCCACUACACUGAAAGAAAACUAAAAGAUUACAUUGACCCAAAUUAUGAUACACUCAAGGUCAGGCUUGCAAAUAGUGAUCUAUAUGCCAAUUGUUGCGUCAUGCUAGGAACCGGCAAGAGAGCCACCGUAACAACAAACUGGUCUGAGUUCCGCCACCUUGCAAAAAUCCAUGAAGGAGACAAUUGCAAUUGUGAUCUAUAUGCACGAUGAGAACCAGGCGCUGCUUUGUGGUGACCUUGAUAAAUAACAAGACUUCUGCUACUGCAUAUUUUUGCAGCAUAAGUAACCACAGCGGAAUUCACAUUGCAA